AGUUGAUAAUGAUGAUGAUGAUGAUGAUGAUGAUGAUGAUGAUCAUCAUCAUCAUCAUCAACUUCAUCAUAAGAA
rnacentral:pre_miRNA from 1 species